CAAUAGCGUAUAUUAAAGUUGUUGCAGUUAAAAAGCUCGUAGUUGGAUUUCUGGUGGGAGCGAUCGGUCUGGCGCUUAGCGCGAGUACUUGCAUCGUCUCCAGCCAUCCUUGGGGAGAGUCUGUCUGGCAUUAGGUUGUCGGGCAGAGGAUCCUCAUCGUUUACUGUGAAAAAAUUAGAGUGUUCAAAGCAGGCUUAUGCCGUUGAAUAUAUUAGCAUGGAAUAAUAAGAUAGGACUUUGGUACUAUUUUGUUGGUUUGCGCACCAAAGUAAUGAUUAAUAGGGACAGUUGGGGGUAUUCGUAUUCCGUUGUCAGAGGUGAAAUUCUUGGAUUUACGGAAGACGAACUACUGCGAAAGCAUUUACCAAGGAUGUUUUCAUUAA
rnacentral:rRNA from 1 species